rnacentral:rRNA from 1 species
CGUGUGGUUCUAUUUUGUUGGUUAUGGGACCGCCGUAAUGAUUAAUAGGGACAGUCGGGGGCAUCAGUAUUCAAUUGUCAGAGGUGAAAUUCUUGGAUUUAUUGAAGACUAACUACUGCGAAAGCAUUUGCCAAGGAUGUUUUCAUUAAUCAGGAACGAAAGUUAGGGGAUCGAAGGCGAUCAGAUACCGUCGUAGUCUUAACCAUAAACUAUGCCGACUAGGGAUCGGGCGAUGUUACUUUUUGACUCGCUCGGCACCUUACGAGAAAUCAGAGUUUGUGGGUUCCUGGGGGAGUAUGGUGGCAACGCUGAAACUUAAAGAAAUUGACGGAAGGGCACCACCAGGGGUGGAGCCUGCGGCUUAAUUUGACUCAACACGGGGAAACUCACCAGGUCCAGACACAAUGAGGAUUGACAGAUUGAGAGCUCUUUCUUGAUUUUGUGGGUGGUGGUGCAUGGCCGUUCUUAGUUGGUGGAGUGAUUUGUCUGCUUAAUUGCGAUAACGAACGAGACCUUAACCUGCUAAAUAGCCCGUGUUGCUUCUGCAGCACGCCGGCUUCUUAGAGGGACUAUCGGCUCAAGCCGAUGGAAGUUUGAGGCAAUAACAGGUCUGUGAUGCCCUUAGAUGUUCUGGGCCGCACGCGCGCGACACUGACAGGGCCAGCGAGUUCUCCCUUGUCCGAAAGGACCGGGUAUCUGUAAACCCUGUCGUGC